UACGUAGGGUGCAAGCGUUGUCCGGAAUUAUUGGGCGUAAAGAGCUCGUAGGCGGUUUGUCGCGUCUGCUGUGAAAACCCGAGGCUCAACCUCGGGCCUGCAGUGGGUACGGGCAGACUAGAGUGCGGUAGGGGAGAUUGGAAUUCCUGGUGUAGCGGUGGAAUGCGCAGAUAUCAGGAGGAACACCAAUGGCGAAGGCAGAUCUCUGGGCCGUAACUGACGCUGAGGAGCGAAAGCGUGGGGAGCGAACAGGA
rnacentral:rRNA from 1 species